rnacentral:misc_RNA from 1 species
UCCUGGUUAACCCAGGCAGUCUCAUUAGAGUCCCCAGCCGAACUGUUGGCAACUAAUGAUAAGGGUUGCGCUCGUUGCGGGACUUAACCCAACACCUCACGGCACGAGCUGACGACAGCCAUGCAGCACCUGUAUAAAUGCUCCGAAGAGAAAUAUCAUCUCUGAUAUCGUCAUCUAUAUGUCAAGCCUAGGUAAGGUUCUUCGCGUUGCAUCGAAUUAAACCACAUGCUCCACUGCUUGUGCGGGUCCCCGUCAAUUCUUUUGAGUUUCACCCUUGCGAGCGUACUUCCCAGGCGGCAUACUUAACGCGUUAGCUUCGGCACAGUCGGGGUUGAGUCCAACUACACCAAGUAUGCAUCGUUUACGGCAAGGACUAC